AACGCAACUUGCGCUCAAUGGUAUUCCAUUGAGCACGCCUGUUUCAGUAUCAAAAACACCCCACAUUCAUAAUUUUAUUGUGAAUGGAAUUGAGAAUUUCGACUUGUUUGAAUUCUUUAAACCUAUUAGGCCUGAACUAUUGUUCUUUUAGCCUGAACAUUUUUUUAAUAUAAAGGAAUGCUCUAGUAUUAAGACUAUCUCUGGGGCCUCCCAAAUAAAACUUUCUUAAAUUUGAUCUGGAAUCAGGCGGGAUUACCCGCUGAACUUAA
rnacentral:misc_RNA from 1 species